AAUACAAAACACAGAUGAGUGUGAUCAAGUCUCUAAACAAAUAUUAAAAGAAAAGUUCACACAAAAAUUAAAAUUUGCUGAAAAAAGUACUCACCCUCAGGUCAUCCAAUAUGUAGAUAAGAACAGACUUGGAGAAAUGCAGCAUUCCAUCACUUGUUCAUCAGUGGAUCCUCUGCAGUGAAUGAGUCCAAACAGCUGAUAAAAAUGUCAAAAUAAUCCACAAGUAAUCCACAUAACUCCAGUCUAUCGAUUAAUGUAUUUUUAAGUGAAAAAUUGCAUGUUUCUGAAAAACAAAUCCAUCAUUAAGACGUUUUACUUUAAACCAUUGUUUCCGGCUAAAAUGUGAUGUCAUAAUAAUACUUUAUAAUAAAUCUUCUUCCAGUGAAAAAAGUAGUCUUGUCUGAAUCAUUUAAGAAAUAUGCACAGAUCAAGCACUAUUUACAAGCCAAAACUGCUCUAAACAAAUAUGUGGGUGGAUUUUGAUGUCAGAGGACAUCAGGGAAUGGACUUUUUCUCUGCAGGGAGCGCUAUUAUGGAAUGUGGACUAAUUUUUUGGGCUAGAAGUGACGGUUUAAAGUAAAAAAAAAAAACCUCAAUGGAUGUGUUUCUUACAAAUACACAGAUGUUAAUUGAUGGCCUGGAGUGAUGUGGAUUACUUGUGGAUUAUUAUGAUGUUUUUAUCAGCUCAUUGGAUUCUGACGGCACCCAUUCACUGCAGAGGAUCCACUGGUGAGCAAGUGAUGCGAUGCUGAAUUUCUCCAAAUCAGCUCUGAUGAAGAAACAAACUCUUCUAGAAACAAACUAAUCUACAUCUUUGAUGGCCUGAGGGUUUUUGGAGGCUUUGAAAUCCAGACUCAGAAGUGGAGGUGGAUCCCAGCAGGAACAUGGCCCAUCUCUCUGCCCCAGAGGAGACGUACUGCCACAGGGUCCAGAGAUGAGCCUUUGCCUGUCCGCUCUGGGUCCCGGGGUCUCUUCCUGAUUGGACUGGACUUUACGGCUGCUGGGACUUUUGCUUAAAACUCUUAACAAACAGAGGAAAAAGCAGAUGCAUUGUCAGAAGAGGCACAAAAUGCAACAAAUCCCCCCUCACUGCUAACCGUGAUCUUCCUGACACUCUGAGACAGGCGGCCCAGCUGGGACUCUACCCAGGAUCGCGUCUCUUUCAUGGGCAAACGCUGUUUCACCUGCUCCCCCUCCCAUCACAAAUCCCACAAUCCUCCCCCCGUCUCCCCAGCCCCUCCAACCGUCCCAGCUGAGCUUUGCUAAUCAGUAUGGCGAUGAGAGACAAGACUUGGUUAAUUCGGCCAAUUAGGCCCGAGCGUUGUUUGUGGCCAGCGACAUUUUGUAUUCGUGAAAAUGUGUGGAGNNNNNNNNNNNNNNNNNNNCUUCAGUGUCACAUGAUCCUUCAGAAAUCAUUCUAAUAUGUUCUUAUUAUGAUCAAUAUUAAAAAG
ensembl:lncRNA